rnacentral:rRNA from 1 species
CCCGUCAAGCCAUGGAAGCCGGGAGUGCCUGAAGUGCGUGAGCGCAAGCAGCGCCCUAAGGUAAAACCGGUGACUGGGGCUAAGUCGUAACAAGGUACC